AUUGAACGCUGGCGGCAGGCCUAACACAUGCAAGUCGAACGAGUGGCGGACGGGUGAGUAAUGUAUGGGAAAGUGCCUGAUGGAGGGGGAUAACUACUGGAAACGGUAGCUAAUACCGCAUACCAUCGGAUGUGCCCAGAUGGGAUGAGCUAGUGGGUAGGGUAAAGGCUCACAUAGGCGACGAUCCCUAGCUGGUCUGAGAGGAUGACCAGCCAGACUGGAACUGAGACACGGUCCAGACUCCUACGGGCGGCAGCAGUGGGGAAUAUUGCACAAUGGGCGCGAGCCUGAUGCAGCCAUGCCGCGUGUAUGAAGAAGGGCUUCGGGUUGUAAAGUACUUUGAGCAGGGAGGCGUUACCUGCAGAAGAAGCACCGGCUAACUCCGUGCCAGCAGCCGCGGUAAUAC
rnacentral:rRNA from 1 species